GGCGGAUGCGCUGCGCGGAGCUCCGCGCCUGCGGAAGGGGCUGCGCGGGCGUAAAGCCGCAACAGAAAAACAUCUUUCAGGGCUCCUAUCCUGACCUCUCCUGAGAGACAGCAUCUCCUGGAAGACCUUCAGCACAUCCUACAAAUAAGAAGUGCCCAAGUGCAAUCCUCCUUCUCCCAGCAGCCCGCCUGCCCAAGUUCACGCUGUUCCCUGAAUAAUAAAGCAUAAUCAGCUCUGUAUUAAAGCAAAACCUGUCCCCAGCAUCAGUGCUACCAACCCCUGUCGUAACAUAACAAGGACUCUUCCCAAAAUAUUUGGGCUUGCCCUGUCACAGUGAGAGGCGUUCAAGUUCAGCGCUCUGUCAACAAUGCCAGGUGUCUCCUGAACCUCCGGCGCCCGAGCCAAGAGAGGGAGCUCAGAAGCACAGGAAUAAUCAUUAUUCACAUUACUAAAAUGUAACGGAAUGUUUAAACAGAUAACGUAACACAAUCCCUCACAGCAGAAAAAAAAAAAAAAUACUGUUUAUUAUUUAUCCCUGUCAGAUAGAAAAUGAACUCAAUCUCCUGGAAAGCAAAAGCAAGGCUCCUUUCUUUUUUUUUUUUUCCCUUCUUUUUGCAACUGACAGCCAUGAAAAAAAUAUUCUAUUGUGGCAGCUGCGCCCCUUCAAAGGGGCUGAUGUUCGCUGUGGUUCUUGAUAAACCAACUGGCAAAUUUUGGGGGUGAAAAAGAAGUGACUUGAAGCCAAACACAUCUAAGAAAAAAAAGCCUCGUGAAAUCAAAAAUCCAAGAACAAUUUCAUGUUGAGUCAAUCCGAAGAUUUCAUUUCAAUUUUGAUUUUUUGGGGGAAUAAGAAAAAAGACACACACCCCCUUGCUUGAAAAUAAAAUUAAAGGACAUUUUGAACACAAAGUAGUUUCAAAAUGAAAAAUCAAAGUGUUUCAUGUCAGAAGUGUCAAAACUAACAGCUUCAGCAUUUGUCAGAGCUUUUUUGAGUUUUUAUAAAUGACAAGUUUGGCAUGUGUGCACAGACCGUUUUGGUGCUGCUGAAUCUGCAUUUUUGCAUGCAAAAAAAAUUGGUCGGGUGAAAUUUUCUGCGGAGAAACCGUUUGCCAUUCCCUUUGUGUGGAGACCAGCAGCGCUCUCCCCCAUGGCUGCAGUGUGCAGGAGCCUCACUGACACCUCCAGCUCCUCUUUGGCUUAUUAAUAUUUUACCCUUCAGUUUGCAGGACUCCACAGGCCGGGUCUUUUCCAGAGCCAGCUCCCUGGUUAGCAGGAGGAGGUACAAAGGUUAGGAGAGACCGACUGUGCAUCUCCAGCUUGAUGUGCUGCUGUGUGACAGGCGGCCACAGACCCAUCCUAAGGUGACAUUAGGGUUCUCAUCAACUGCCCAAAGGAAAGAAGGACAAGAAUCCUGCCUCCUUCUAAACAGGUGACUUUGCAUUACCAGGGCCAUGGAAUGCCAGCGAAUCGUUCAGUGGGAAAUCAUCUGACCCGAGGCCAACACCAUGCAGAAAAAGACAGAGUUAUGCAUUGCUAUUGUGAAGAAGUUUCAGAUUAAAUAAAUGUAUUUUCUUCUGAACUUGUAA